CCGGUGUAGACUGUGAUGCAGCCGUCCAAGAACACAAAGCAGCUGACCUGAGGGAGGUCGUUGGCUUUGGGCAAGCUCUUUUUCAGGCGACUGAACUGAUGGAAGUCCCAGGGAACAGAGCAGCUGUCCACCUGCCACAGUUAACAGGUUCUGGAUGGAAUGGUGGAUCACUUCAACACAUUUCAGCUGGUCAUGAACCCGGGCCCGUACCCAGCUGCACACAGCUGCUUUCCUCCAAAGCCGGGAGGUGGCCACCCUCCGAGUGAAGGUCGGGAGAGGAAGCAACAUCACAGAGCUCCAGAAGCUGCGACCGCACAUCGGGAUCACAUGGAUCCACAGAAGCUCCAGCUGGGGAAAGGCGAACUGCAGGGGGUCCAGGAGGGCGUCUGUGAUGUCUUUGAGAUCAAGAGACUUCAUGGCUACUGAGGUCAGGGCCACAAGUCUGUAGAGUCCUGUGACUCUCGCCUUUUUGGGGACAGGGAUGAUAACUGAAAAUUUAAAGCAGGCUGCCACAUGACAGGUCUCCAGCAAGUUGUUAAAGAUGUCUGUGAACACUGGAGACAUUGCUGGACAAUGGCCGGGGAGGGAGGGUGUUAGGACUGGCCCAUUGUUUAACAAAGCAGCAGUAGAAAUUGUCCAGGUCGUUGGCCAGACGCAGGUGAUUCAGAGAGUGAGGGUCUCUGGGGUGGUAGUUGGGGAUAGUCUUGAGCCCUUUCCAGACAGAAGCAGAGUGGUUGGCUGAGACCUGCUGUUCCAGUCUCUCCCCAUGAGCAGAUUUAGCUUUUCUCAGGUCCAUGCUUCGCCUCUUUGCAUUUGUCUCUGUUCCCAUUUCUGAAUGCAGCUUCUUUCUCUGACCUCAGCUGUCUGAGCCUUGCUGUGUCCUUGUUGUAGCUCACACUGGUGCGUGUUGAAAUGACACUGUCCUCACAGAAGUAUGCGAGAACUGCAUCAGAGCAUACUGACCAUCAACUCUCCCUGAUACGUGGUUGCUCAGGAUUACAGUCUAGGUUUUAUUCUCAAAUAAUAGUUAUUAAAUCUAAAGGUCUGUUAUUGUGUUUCUCCGUGGUUAAUAACAUAUCAGUAGCUGUGAUAUGAUAAAUAUUUUUGAUAGUCUAUUAUUAGAGCUGUAUUUGGUGGCCAUGUCCAUGAGAUUCACGGUUCAAAAGAAAACCGAGACCAGGUCUCAGACUCACCUGGACCUGGAGCAGGCUGGGAUGGGUCCUCAACAUGGAUCUGGAAGGAGGCAGCAGCUGGAGGUCUGCCGCAGUCACUGGUAUGAGAGCUGGAGGCUUCACAAGGCACCUACAGGGACAGCAACAAGAUUCAGGGUCCUGUACACAACGCUGGCAGCUAACUGGCACACCUCAUCGAGGUAAUCAGCAGGGCGACUUGGAGACCCAGCAGGGCAGCAGCUCUAGACGACCAGGGUUGGACACCCCUGCCUCAGACAGACCCAGCGUAGUGUACAGGACCCUGAACAUGUGGAAGGAAAGAGGAUCGGGCCCUGCACUGAACAGCCAGAUGGAUCUACAAGUACCGACAGGCUACCUGCAUCUGGCUCCUCAAAAACAGCUCUGGACAGUACUCACUCCUCACAUUGGCCCCAUCCUGGUUCUGAGAGCCCAGUUGUCCGCUCAGGUGGGUCCCUCUGAUUGAGAAGACAGGGUCCACCUGCAUGACCAGCCCCUCAGCCAUCUGGAUGUGGAGAACUAAUCACUUCUCACCGAUCAUUCGGGCACGUGAGGCUCAACGCGGAAUCAGAGUAAAACCAAGCCCGAGGUGCGUCCCCUGCCGUGGAACGUUAUGCUGCUUCUCCUGUAAACGGGACUUUCUCUGAGUUUCAGCAGGUUUGAUCGCAGGCUAAUAAAUAAAGAAACCAACUGUCACAAACCUGCUUA